AUAAGCCAAUAAACAGGAAUAUCAAUUACCAAACUUUAAUGCAAACUGCAUGCACAAUUGUUCAGGCUACAAAAUGGAGCAGACUUAAACAGGCUUUAAAUGUAUGCAGGUCAAUGGAUAAAUCAUGCAGUCUGUGGAUUCAACGAAGACUUUAUUUUUCUGCGCAUUUCUUGUGCUGGCCAUUGUUGUCGUUGAAGUAAAUGCAUUCGGUUUUUGUUUCGAGGACAGUGAUUGUACAACAAACAACACGUUCUGCGAUGGUGAUGUAUGUAUGUGCAUAGCUGGUCACACACUUUUGAAUGGAGUA